GCCAGUUGUGGUGGCGCAUGCCUAUAAUCCCAGCAGCUUGGGAGGCUGAGGCAGGAGGAUUACAAGCGCAAAGCCAGCCUCAGUAAUUUAGCAAGGCCCUGAGCAACUUAGCAAGACCCUGUCUCUA
rnacentral:sRNA from 1 species